rnacentral:lncRNA from 1 species
UUUUCUUCUUAAACUCAUUAAGGGGGUGACUAGUGAUUACUAGCAUUGGUGUGUCUUAGUUACCAAAUGAUUCCUCACCUCUCUCUAGGUAGUCAUUUAUGUACAGUAGGAAGGUUCCCCAGAAAGAGGAAGUUAUUUUUGGGUGGUCCAUGCCUAUUUUUAAGCAGCCUCCCUUUAAGAUACUAAGUGGCAUUUAGAAAUAUCUGACUUCCACCUAGGCUUUCUACACCUCUUUCAGUGAUGAAUUUGUAUAUCCAUAAUUAGUUACUUAAAGGGAUCUGC